GUGGGGAAUAUUGGACAAUGGGCGAAAGCCUGAUCCAGCCAUGCCGCGUGUGUGAAGAAGGUCUUCGGAUUGUAAAGCACUUUAAGUUGGGAGGAAGGGCAGUAAGUUAAUACCUUGCUGUUUUGACGUUACCGACAGAAUAAGCACCGGCUAACUUCGUGCCAGCAGCCGCGGUAAUACGAAGGGUGCAAGCGUUAAUCGGAAUUACUGUGCGUAAAGCGCGCGUAGGUGGUUUUGUAAGUUGGAGGUGAAAUCCCCGGGCUCAACCUGGGAACUGCCUCCAAAACUGCAUGACUAGAGUACGGUAGAGGGUAGUGGAAUUUCCUGUGUAGCGGUGAAAUGCGUAGAUAUAGGAAGGAACACCAGUGGCGAAGGCGACUACCUGGACUGAUACUGACACUGAGGUGCGAAAGCGUGGGGAGCAAACAGGAUUAGAAACCCGAGUAGUCC
rnacentral:rRNA from 1 species